rnacentral:rRNA from 1 species
GACGAACCGUCCUAACGUUGUUCGGAAUCACUGGGCUUAAAGGGCGCGUAGGCGGGUCGGCAAGUCCGGGGUGAAAUCUUUCGGCUCAACCGGAAAAUAGCCUUGGAUACUGCUGGUCUUGAGGGAGGUAGGGGCCUGUGGAACUUCCGGUGGAGCGGUGAAAUGCGUUGAUAUCGGAAGGAACGCCGGUGGCGAAAGCGACGGGCUGGACCUCUUCUGACGCUGAGGCGCGAAAGCUAGGGGAGCAAACGGG